AGCGAACGCUGGCGGCAGGCUUAACACAUGCAAGUCGAGCGGGCACUUUCGGGUGUCAGCGGCGGACGGGUGAGUAACGCGUGGGAACGUGCCCUCUGGUUCGGAAUAACUCAGGGAAACUUGAGCUAAUACCGGAUACGCCCUUUUGGGGAAAGGCUUGCUGCCGGAGGAUCGGCCCGCGUCUGAUUAGCUAGUUGGUGAGGUAACGGCUCACCAAGGCGACGAUCAGUAGCUGGGCUGAGAGGAUGAUCAGCCACACUGGGACUGAGACACGGCCCAGACUCCUACGGGAGGCAGCAGUGGGGAAUAUUGGACAAUGGGCGCAAGCCUGAUCCAGCCAUGCCGCGUGAGUGAUGAAGGCCUUAGGGUUGUAAAGCUCUUUUAUCCGGGACGAUAAUGACGGUACCGGAGGAAUAAGCCCCGGCUAACUUCGUG
rnacentral:rRNA from 1 species